GGGACAUGAAGCCUAUGAAUAGACACGUCAUUCCAUGAAAUUUCCAUUUCACAGGUGAUUGCCCUCUUAUAACAGCCAAAGGGAGGUGUGCUGUUGUCAGGAGAGGAGAUGUUGUUUUUAAAUCUGCAAAACGAAACUGGAAAGUAUGGGAGUGCAAAAAAGUUGAACCCCAACGCAAAAUCUGUCUGGCAUUUGUAUGGCAUGUCAACAGCAAAGAUCAUAUCCUCACUGUGAAGAACAGUGAGUUGAAGCUUGAACAUGCCCCUGAUUUUAAGGAAAAACAUCAUGAAUUCCUGUCUAAAACUGAAUGUCAGUUUGAAUGGUGCAAUCUGAAUGGAAAUAAUGGGAGUUUGCGGUGUGUAGCCAAAAAUAAUUUGUACUUGGCAAAUGACAAUAGUAAGCUGAUUGCCAGCGAAGAAACAGUUAAGGCAGAAGUGUUCCAGUUGAGUUAGAUUUUCUCUAAAAUGAAAGCAUUUUCAUAUGUGCAUUUAGUCUAUUAAUGUUCUAUGGUUAGGUUUGUUUGUUAUGUUGUUUUGUUACCAUUAGGCUAAUGAUCAAAUUUACAUUGUUUUUAUUAUUGUUUUUUAUUCCAUAGUUAUUGUUGUUAUAUAAUUGAUUGAAUGACUUUAUUGUCUAACUACUAUUCUCCAUUUAGUCAUUUUUUUUUAUUUUCAUUGGAUUGCUUAUAUUGACACUAUUUAUUGUUUAAGUAGCUAUUCUCUUUAGUCGACACUAUAGUAUGAUCAACUGCUAAAUGUAAUGGCAACACCACCAUACCAUAACCAUGUGCAUAAUUAGAGGACAACCACUAACACUCCAAAAUCUAAGACAACCUGUGAAUUUUGGUUAUUUUCUUUGUUUUAUGGCACAUUUAUGUUGUACUACAAGACAAACAACCAAAAGAGCAAAAUGCAUUCUUAUAAAUCAUGUAAU